GCGUUCCAGCUGCUUUCCCAGGGGCGUAUGCAGAACCGAGUGAGGGGCGCCGCAGCAGCUGCCGCCCCUCCCGCCCCGGGGUCCCCACCUGCGCGGGGAUGCCGGGCAGCGUGCGGGGCGCGGGCUCCGCCGCUCGGGCUUCCCCUUCUGUCUCCCGUUUGUGUUCUGGUUCUAGUUCGCGCAGGGUUCAAGAUGACAAUCCGACACCAAGGCCAACAGUACAGGCCGAGAAUGGCAUUUCUCCAGAAGGGAAGGGAGGUCCGGUUUCAAAGCUGCCUGUUGAUCCUGAAAACUGAGCACUGCUUGGGCUGAAAGUUACCAAGAGCGUCCUCCCCACGUGGGCCUGACUGUUCUGAGGAUGUCUGCACUUUCUCCCAGGGGCUCCCAGUAACUCCAGUGACCCACGGAGGUCACCUGCGUGUGAAUGCAUUCUGUAUCGCUCUCCCUUCGUCCUGGCACACUUCCCCAACCACCUGCCUCAGCUUCGUGAGGUCAGCCCUCCCACCAUCACCGAGGUGGGCUGGAUUAUUAUCCCCAUUUCACAGGCCGCUUGGCUCACCCAGUGACCUGAGAUGCUGCCAGGCCCCGACAUUACUGAAGGCCAAGGACUGCAGCCCCAAAUGGAGCUGAAAUGAAGAGUUUCUGUUCCAGAACAAUUCUGUGAGCCAAGAAAGUGUCUGUGCAGAUGAAGCAUGUCGUCUGUCUUGCACUAGGAGCCACGGGCGCCGCCUGGGCCCCCGCCAGUCUCCCUGGCUGGCUGAGUGGCUGGCGCUGUGCCCAGAGUGGCCUUGACCUUGCUUCUGAUCCUGGUUGUUUCUUGAGGUGGCGAUUCAGCUGCAAAUGCUGGGUUAGCACCAGACUGAGAUAGGAAAUCUCAGCCCCCAGACUUGACCAAGGGCACUGUCUCACACUCCUUCCCUCCUUGGGAAGGUGGGAGCCUUCCAGCUUUAGGACCAGGCUGUCUGAGAGGGAGUGGCAGGUAGGAUUCUUCCAGUUCAGGGCUCUCCUGCUUUCCCUCCAAUGCAGGCAGGUCAGUGUACCCCUCCCUCCUCUCUGCCUGGCCACAUCAUGGGCUCCCCUCAAAGUCCACUUCCUCCGUCUCCAUCUUUGCUCCCUUUGAGCUCUUGUGUAGUUCGGAUCUGAAUGACCCACGUGGGCACACUUUAUCCUGUGCUGUGUAUUAAUCCAUCUCCAUGCUUUGCCAGCCCAGCUCCCAGGGGACAAAGAUGAUGCUGUUUAUUUGUAGCGAUCAUAGGACUGGAUCCAUAAGAAGCAUUUGAUUAAAUCUCUCUCUUUGGAUCGGGUCGUCUAGCUGAGUUUUUCUCAUGUGGCUUUAUUGACUGGUCUGAAAGGGUAUAUUGUGAUGAUAACUUCUACGUCUACCACUCUCACCUUAGCUGUCACCAUUCCUAUAGGGCCUUAGAGAUUCUGUAAAUGUUUCACACUCAGUGUUUCCAUUUAAUCCUUAUAACUACACCCAAAAUAUAUGGAGCACAUAUUACAUUCCCCCACCCCCUGCCCCUCAAUAAAUGAAAAUACUGAGGUUCAGAGAGGUUAAAUGACUGGCCCAGGGUCACACAGCUGACAUAGAGAAGAGACAGAUGGGAAAACCAGUAGUGGCAUUAAGACCACAGGUAUAUUCAUGCAUAUGAAAGGGCUCUGUGAACUGAGCGCUCACACACGGUUACAGAGAAUUAUGAUGAAUUGCAGGAAAGUAGCUACUGCUAGGAGCAAUCCGUUGGGAUGGCUCUUGACUUGGCUGGCAGGAUUUGGGAUGUUGGUUGCAUUUGACAGGUCCCCAGGGGGAGCGGAGCAGGCAGCGGAAGUGGCCUGUUGACAGUGCCUGCAGUUGUCCGCACAUACCUGGGGUUUCUUGCCUCCAUCCCUUGCUUAUGCUGCCCCCUCAUCCUGGGAUACCCUUCCUCACUCACUGGAACAGGAGGCUGGAUUUCCAGUGGUCUCCUAGACAUUUCUUCCAUGUUCCAGCGGCAUGGCCCAAACUGAAGUCUUUCUCUGCCAAAGCAGGCUGCUCCUUCUGCGUCUCCUGUUGCGAUACUGAUGCCACUGUCUGCUUGGCAGGGAGGCUAGAAACCUUGGAGUCCUGUUCUCUUUCCCUCACCAAACCCUAUCUGGUCACCAAGGACAAGAGUCCCCAUCUACACUGCCUCUAGUCCCCGUUUUCUGGUCCUCACUGCUGCUGCCCGAUUGUCACUGUCACCAGCUUACCAGGCUCCCGUCUCUGCCUGCCAUUCUUUUUGGUACCAUCAAUAAAACAAGGCCCGCUGGAUGCCCCUCUCUGAGAGCUUCCAGUUGCCAUUCAUUAUGGGUUGAAUCGAGUCCCCCUCACAUCAUAUGUCAGAGCCCUAACUACCUGUACCCUAGAAUAUGUUGUAUUUGGAGACUGUCUUGGUCUUCUUGGGACACCAUAAGAAAAUGCCAUAGGCUGCAUUGCUAAAACAGCAGAAAUUUGUUUUCUCACGGUUCUGGAAGCUGGAAAGUCCAAGAUCAAGGUACCAGCAGGGCUGCGUUCCUCUGAGGCCUCUCUCCUUGGCUUGCAGAUGGCUGUCCCUCUGGGUGGGGUGCCCACUGUCCAUCCCGCAGGGUCCUCACAUGACCUUCUUGCGCAUGUGCAGAAAGAGGAGGUGAGAGCAGGCUCUCUGGUGUCUCUUCUUAUAAGCACCAAUUUUAUCAGAUCUGUAAGACCUCAUUUAACCUUAAUUACUUCCUUAGAGGCCCCAUCUCCAAAUAUAGUCACACUGCAGAUUAAGGCUUCAACAUGAAUUUUGGGGGGACAUAAACAUUGAGUGUAUAUAACAGAGAUAAAGCCUUUAAAAAAGUGAUAAAUUAAAAUAAGGCUAACAUGGGCUCUAAUCCAAUUUGACUGGUGUCUUUAUAAGAAGAGUUUAGGGCACACGGAGGGACACCGGGAGCUCUACCCAGAGGUACAGCCAUCUGCAAGCCAAGGAGAGGGGCCUCAGAAGAACACAGCUCUGCUUGCACCUUGAUCUUGGACUUUCUAGCCCUUAGACUGUGAGAAAAUAAGUUUCCUUUUAAGCCACUCAGCCUGUGUUUUUUUGUUGUCAGCCCAAGCAGACUAAUACACAUAUGAAAUGGCUUUCAAGGCCUCUUGGGUCCUAGAUCUAUUUGCUCUUCUCCACACAUACUGUGCAUUUUUAUCCUUUUACACUUUUGCAUGUUAGCUCCUGUCUGGAAUGCCCCUUUCUCUGUGGCAGAGGCAAUAAAUACUCACCAAAUAGUCCAGUGCUCUCUUAGAACCCAUGGGCCACCAGUAGAAGGGAUAACUGUAGCUUCCAGGCUGAAAGCAUUGGACUGAGACUGAAAUUCUCUGUAUUUUUGUCUCUUCCCCUGCAUAGAGACUCUGAAAGCAUGUGAUGGGAUGAGAGGCCAUGGGUGGUAGCAGCUGGGAUCCCUGGGUCAGGACACUGAGGGAGUCCUGGAUAUUGCCCCACAUGAAUUUAUAUCGCUAAUCAGUCUUUGUUGUGUGAAACCUUUGCUGCUGCGGCAUUAACUCAGUGUUUCCUAAUACACUCUCCCUUUUUGUCAGUUAAAAUCUUCAUCUUUUAAGUCCCAGUUUAAAGAAGGAUCUUUAAAAGCCUUCCAGAACCAGCCUACCCCUGUCAGAACUAAUCUCUUCCCUCUGUGCUUUCCUGGCACAUGAAUCUUAUGUCUAUUUGAUACUUAGAUACUUAGAGAUUGGUUUAUGUACAGGUAGAGUUAGUGACAGAAUGAUUAAGGGUAUGAAUUCUGGAACCAGACCGACUAGAGUCACAUCUCAGCCCUGCCAUUGAUCUGCAGUGGAACCUUUGAUGAAGUCGCUUAGUUUGACAGGAUGUUGGUUCAUAUUUGUUCUUCUAGUACCUACCGGAGACCUGGUGCAGUAACUGAUUGCUCAAUAGUACCUUUUUACCAGCUUCCUUCUGGUUUUUCUUCCAAUUGAAGCAUCAGGAAAAGACAUGCAGAACCAGAGAUGGGUCAAAAUGCGGAGCCAGAGGCUCCUGUGAUUACAGAAUCAAGGGCCCUUGCAACAUAACAGGUGAAAUAGCCUAUGGCUCAGGCCAGGUCUGAAACAAACUACCAUUUUCUACAAAUUAACCCAAACUGGAGGGAGAGAACCCAGGGGGCAAGAGGGAGGCAAGAUGAAUCCAGUGUCACUUCUUGAAACUGCUUUCCUUGAGGUCAUCAUUUUUAUUUGUCUACUGAGAUGGUUUAACGAUUUUUUUUCUACUAAUGUGAUGAAUUAUCUUGAUUGAUUUUGGAAUAUUGAAUCACCCUCGCAUUCCUGGAAUAAACCCUGGUUGGAUGCCUGA